rnacentral:rRNA from 1 species
UUAUUGGAGAGUUUGAUCCUGGCUCAGGAUGAACGCUGGCGGCGUGCCUAAUACAUGCAAGUCGAGCGAAUGGAUUAAGAGCUUGCUCUUAUGAAGUUAGCGGCGGACGGGUGAGUAACACGUGGGUAACCUGCCCAUAAGACUGGGAUAACUCCGGGAAACCGGGGCUAAUACCGGAUAAUAUUUUGAACUGCAUGGUUCGAAAUUGAAAGGCGGCUUCGGCUGUCACUUAUGGAUGGACCCGCGUCGCAUUAGCUAGUUGGUGAGGU